rnacentral:rRNA from 1 species
UACAGAGGUCUCAAGCGUUGUUCGGAUUCAUUGGGCGUAAAGGGCGCGUAGGUGGCGCUCCAAGUCCGUGGUGAAAGCUCGAUGCUCAACAUCGAGUCGGCCACGGAGACUGGAGGGCUCGAGCACUGUAGGGGCAGAUGGAAUUCCGGGUGUAGCGGUGGAAUGCGUAGAGAUCCGGAAGAACACCGGUGGCGAAGGCGGUCUGCUGGGCAGUUGCUGACACUGAGGCGUGACAGCGUGGGGAGCAAACAGG